UCCUGUCUUCCAGACACAGCUGUGUGUACUCUUAGAGCCCCCUUAGAGUCUUCUACUCAGUGCUGGAAGUGGGAUUCUGUCCUACCUUUGGACCAAUGCUGAAUCUCUUCAACGCUAUGCCUUCUGGAAGCAACGCUGUCCCAGAACAGGGUAACGCAGUAGGAACAAAAGAAAAGUCAGUGGUAGGAUCAAGCUGCACAUCUUCUUAGUCAGGCAAGAGUGCAUCAGUACCUAAGGCUACAUGGACACUGACUGGGAAGGUGGCUGGAACCGAGGGCUCCUGGAAAGACCCAAGCCCCAACUGCCAGGUGGAACCCAAGCAGAAAAUCUCUGUGGGUUACACCGUGGAGAGCAAGCGCUAUGGGAAGAAGAGGUGGCCACAGGAGAUAAGCCAGAGAGCACACUGUCAGAAAUGGUAAGAUGCAGUUCCCCCCAAAGCCAGUAAUUUGAUAUGUGUCAUAACAGAGGACAUUCAAUAGCCAAGAAAGAGUCUGAAAUAGCACCAACUAUUUGAACAAGUGCUCUUCUUUCAAUCUCUCUUCCACUUACCCUGAUUAAGGAUCAUGAAGUGAGGGGCGGAUGAGGAAGUAGAACAGAGAAAACAAAAGAACCUUCUUCCCUUUUCUGAUCUCCAAACUAUGAGUUAGUGAGGCCCAAGCUGAGGGAAAGAGAGAUGAUUCAACUGACUUUUAAACAUACAUAACUAGGUGACCAGUCUAACACCUUAACAGGACUGGGCAGCUAUGGGCUCUGCCAACGGAUGGGGAACGGAGAAUGCUUUAGGAUUUGUUUGAAGAGAGCGCUCCAAAGAGAAAAUAAAACUGGUCCUGAUUGCACCCUACCAAGUUUAGCCAAGUCAACAAACAGGUUAUGGUGUAGGUUGCUCUGUGGUGUUAUCCGUAGACUUCUCUUGAGGUAGGCUGUAAGAAAUAGCACUAUGCCACUCACCCUUGUAUGUACUAUCAUAAUGGCUUCUCUGUUAGGACCCUUGAGGAAACAUCUCCGCGAGCUUCCUGUCUGGGCUAGUUCUGCUUCUCUGUACCAGAGAGAGUGCUUGCAUCCAAUGGACACACCAAGUGACAUCAAGGGUGUCAGUGAGAAAGGUCUAUUCUGCACGGUCUAUUUCAUCACUGACAUUGUUUACAAUCGCUGCACAUGGUGAUGACAAGUAGGUCAACGUCAGUCUGUUUUAUCGGACUUCAUAUAUUUGCUACAGAAAACACCCACACCCCCUGGUGGAUCGCUUCACCUCUUUUUAUCCCAAGGACACGGUGAAUCAUGUUUUCCAUCUGUGUUUCAGUCACUGCAAAGUAUAGAGGCCGAUUCCUAGAGUCUCGUCUGCCAGCACCUUUCUCAUACAGGGCCUUAGUCCUGGCUCCAGUUUAGAUCACUAUUUUUUCUUCCUUCACACUGUCCCUCUCUCCUUUAUUUUUAAACCUACUUCUCAUUAAAUUAUUUUUAUGUGCAAAUCUUUGUAAUAAGCCCAUUUCCAUCCUCUUUGCAGCAAGAUACAUAAGCAAGGCAUACACGGAAAGAACAUUUUUAAAUGCACAUAUUUAAUGAUCUAUCCCAUGGGCGGAGAAUCACGUGUGUAGUUCAUUCUAGACACGAGACAUAAAUUUGCACCUUUCAAAAUGCAGUGAAUGACCCCCACAAUGCUAUUUCAGGUUUCCUUAGGAAACAGCACCAUGUGGCGUAACUCACCUACCCCAGUAGUGUGAUCUCCCUUUGGUCCUGUGUAGGAGGUGGGGGUUUCUCCCCUCCUCCUGUGCCAGCUGCUCCGGUUUCUUCUCUCCUGGGUAAAGGCACAUUCAUCUUGUUCGAAAGUACACUCUCCAGGUGGAGGUGGAAGCCCCUCUGUGAGGAAACAGCAGGUGUUAUUAUUACUGAGGCACUUUCAAUGAAUAUGCAUUCCACGGCUCCCCAUUCUGCAUGUGUGAAUGUCACCUGGCCAUAUGCCUGUGCUUAUGGAGAGGCAGCACCCCCCCCACCCCCGCUGCCGGCCUCUAACUGGCAACCCUCCUAUGCCAAGCUCUUGCCUCUAGCUAGAGCCUGGACUCUACCAUGGGUCCUGCCACAGGGACAGAGAACAAUCAGGAAUCUAGAUUUAGGGGCGCCCGGGUGGCUGUCGGUUGGGUGUCCAGCUUCAACUCAGGUCAUGAUCUCAUGGUUCAUUGGUUCGAGCCCUGCAUCGGGCUCCGUGCUGACAGCUCAGAGCCUGGAGCCUGCUUUGGAUUCUGUGUCUCCUCUCUCUCCCUCUCCUCCGUUCGAGCUCUGUCCCUCUCUCUCUCUCAAAACUAAAUAAGCAUAAAAACAAUUUUUUUUUUUAAAAAUCUAGAUUCAAAAGUAUUGGGAUACUUUGAGAUAGAAACUUCCUCUGACUGAUGAAUUUACUUGUCAGAAUGAGCUUACAAAGCACUGAAAAUUGGAGGCAAACUGCCUUUAUGGAAAUAUGGAAAACAAUAAAUUGUCUCGUGUUGGAGCUUUCUUCAGAAAUCCUGGCUGAGUGAAGGGAAUCCUUAGAACUCAGUAGUUGCUUUGGACGAGGAGGAGAAUGUGCGAAAGCUAAGUGUGCUUCUGGAGGCACAGUUUAACUUGUGUGGAGCAUGUGACUUAAUUCUUCUGUCUUCAAUAUUCUUGUCUACCUUCUGGGAUUGUGAGUUUUAAAGGAGAUGAUGUAUGUGAAGUGUUUAGAACAUGAAGUUCUCAGGAAAUGUUAGCUAAAUGAAUAUUAGGGCUUGGUGUUUUGUCACCUGGAGCCUUAUUUUCCAUUUCCAAAAACAAAUAUUUAUGUCUUUGGACACUGUCUUCAAUAAGUGUCAUGAUUAUUCUUAUUAUUAGAAUGGUGUCACCUCCCACUUAACUGGGGACUUCUUUGUCUGAACUCGGCUGUACCUUCCCGCAUCCAGAUUCUUAGCAGAUUUCUCUAAUAAACAGCCCGUUU
rnacentral:lncRNA from 1 species